rnacentral:rRNA from 1 species
AUACGUAGGGAGCGAGCGUUGUCCGGAAUUACUGGGUGUAAAGGGAGCGUAGGCGGGAGUGCAAGUCAGAUGUGAAAUACAUGGGCUCAACCCAUGGGCUGCAUUUGAAACUGCAUUUCUUGAGUGAAGUAGAGGUAAGCGGAAUUCCUGGUGUAGCGGUGAAAUGCGUAGAUAUCAGGAGGAACACCGGUGGCGAAGGCGGCUUACUGGGCUUUUACUGACGCUGAGGCUCGAAAGCGAGGGGAGCAAACAGGAUUAGAUACCCUGGUAGUCCACGCUGUAAACGAUGAUUACUAGGUGUGGGGGGACUGACCCCUUCCGUGCCGCAGUUAACACAAUAAGUAAUCCACCUGGGGAGUACGGCCGCAAGGUUGAAACUCAAAUGAAUUGGCGGGG